ACCAGGAUUAUGACUUUGACCUACAUGUGAAGGAACAGUAUGGGGUUUCUGGGUCCAUAAGAGAGCGAGCACUGAGCCAGUGGGAAUGGAGUUGUUUAUGAGCAUGAAUAGUUUACAGUAAGCAGUGACAACCUGAUUAUUCACCUUGACACAAUUCAUCCAUAACACUUCUGAAAUCUGAUCCUGUGUUCACACGGGUGGCGGAAGCGAGCCUGUAUUAAUUCACUAGCAGUUCAGGUUCAGUUCACGAUUCCCCUCAACUGUGAACCUCAACUGUUGGUACUCUUAAGCUCUCUUAUUUUGGACUCAUUAUGGGAAGAGUUGAAGGUAAAAGAGGAAGAGGAUGGCCAGAAACAAGAUAGAAUAGAAUAGAGAAACACUAACAAUACAUUCGCCAGGAGUCGACGUGAAGAACAAAUUAAAUGGAAAAAAAAACCCAGUCAUACAUGGAGGAGUUAAAGGUAAAAGAGGAAGAGGACAGCCAGCAACAAGAUAGAUGGAUACAAUUAGAGGAACAAACCAUGACCAAGCCAUAAAGAAGCCUGAAGACCCAAAUAGAAUAUGGGAUAGUCUAGAGAAACGUUGUUGGUUCAAACCCCACCACUGCCAGGUUGCCAUUGUAACAAGCAAGGCCGUCAAUUGUUUAAACAAUAUACUGUCACAGUACGUCGCUUUGGAUAAAAGCGUCUCCUAAAUGCUAAAAAUGUAAACAUACUACUAAUAAUAAUGUGGGCGGCACGGUGGCUAAGUGGGUAGCACUGUCGCCUCACAGCAGGGAGGUCCUGGGUUCGAUCCCCCGUUGGGGCGGUCUGGGUCCUUUCUGUGUGGAGUUUGCAUGUUCUCCCCAUGCCUGCGUGGGUUUGCUCUGGGUGCUCCAGUUUCCUCCCACAGUCCAAAGACGUGCAAGUGAGGUGAAUUGGAGACACUAAAUUGUCCCAGACUGUGUUCAAUAUAACCUUGUUAACUAAUGAACCUUGUGUAAUGAGUAACUAUCGUUUCUGUCAUGAAUGUAACCAAAAGUGUGACGUUACAUGACGUUAAAAUCGUAAUAAAACAA